rnacentral:rRNA from 1 species
AUGUUCGCGCUGGCCAUAGUCAUGGCCGUGGUGGCCGGUGUCUCGGCGCAGAACACCCUGCAGGACUUCGUCAACCGGCACAACCGCGCCCGCGCCGCGGACGGCGUCGGCCCGGUGACAUGGACAACAGCGUGGCCAGGGUCGCGCAGGACUACGCGAACAAGCGCGCCGCCGACUGCCGGCUGCAGCACUCGGCGGGCCGUUCGGCGAGAACAUCUUCUGGGGUUCCGGGCAGUCGUGGACGGCCUCGAACGCCGUGAAGUCGUGGGUGGACGAGAAGCGGAACUACCACCUCAACACCAACACCUGCAACGCCGGCAAGGUGUGCGGGCACACGCAGGUGGUGUGGCGCAAGUCGACCCGCAUCGGCUGCGCGCGCGUGGUCUGCGCCGGGAACCGGGGCGUCUUCACACCUGCAACUACAACCCCCCGGGCAACUUCAACGGCGAGCGCCCGUUCGCGUUCCUCACCCUUGACGCCGAAGCCAAGUGA